rnacentral:rRNA from 1 species
UGCAGUCGAACGGCAGCACGGGUGCUUGCACCUGGUGGCGAGUGGCGUACGGGUGAGUAAUAUAUCGGAACGUACCUUAUCGUGGGGGAUAACGCAGCGAAAGCUGCGCUAAUACCGCAUACGCCCUGAGGGGGAAAGCGGGGGACCGUAAGGCCUCGCGCGAUUAGAGCGGCCGAUAUCUGAUUAGCUUGUUGGUGGGGUAAAAGCCCACCAAGGCGACGAUCAGUAGCUGGUCUGAGAGGACGAUCAGCCACACUGGGACUGAGACACGGCCCUGACUCCUACGGGAGGCAGCAGUGGGGAAUUUUGGACAAUGGGGGCAACCCUGAUCCAGCAAUGCCGCGUGAGUGAAGAAGGCCUUCGGGUUGUAAAGCUCUUUUGUCAGGGAAGAAACAGCAGCUCUAACACAGUCUGCGAAUGACGGUACCUGAAGAAUAAGCACCGGCUAACUACGUGCCAGCAGCCGCGGUAAUACGUAGGGUGCAAGCGUUAAUCGGAAUUACUGGGCGUAAAGCGUGCGCAGGCGGUUAUACAAGACAGGCGUGAAAUCCCCGGGCUUAACCUGGGAAUGGCGUCUGUGACUGUAUGACUAGAGUGUGUCAGAGGGGGGUAGAAUUCCACGUGUAGCAGUGAAAUGCGUAGAUAUGUGGAGGAAUACCAAUGGCGAAGGCAGCCCCCUGGGAUAACACUGACGCUCAUGCACGAAAGCGUGGGGAGCAAACAGGAUUAGAUACCCUGGUAGUCCACGCCCUAAACGAUGCCGACUAGUUGUUGGGAAUUUACAUUCUCAGUAACGUAGCUAACGCGUGAAGUCGGCCGCCUGGGGAGUACGGUCGCAAGAUUAAAACUCAAAGGAAUUGACGGGGACCCGCACAAGCGGUGGAUGAUGUGGAUUAAUUCGAUGCAACGCGAAAAACCUUACCUACCCUUGACAUGUCACUAA